AGAGUUUGAUCAUGGCUCAGACGAACGCUGGCGGCAUGCCUUACACAUGCAAGUCGGACGGCAGCACGGGAGCAAUCCUGGUGGCGAGUGGCGAACGGGUGAGUAAUACAUCGGAACGUGUCCUGGAGUGGGGGAUAGCCGGCGAAACCGGGAUUAAUACCGCAUACGCUCUAUGGAGGAAAGCGGGGGAUCUUCGGACCUCGCGCUCAAGGAAGCGGCCGAUGGGCAAUUAGUAGUUGGUGGGGUAAAGGCUAACCAAGGCGCGGAACGGUAGCUGGUCUGAGAGGACGACCAGCCACUACUGGGACUAAGACACGGGCCAGACUCCUACGGGAGGCAGCUAGUGGGGGAAUUUUGGACAAUGGGGGGAACCCUGAUCCAGCAAUGCCGGCGUGUGUGAAGAAGGCCUUCGGGUUGUAAAGCACUUUUGUCCGGGAAGAAAUCCUUUGGGCUAAUACCGCGGGGGGAUGACGGUACCGGA
rnacentral:rRNA from 1 species